rnacentral:tRNA from 1 species
AGGAUUAUAGUUUAACCAUAAAACAUUUGAAUUGCAAUCAAAAAAUAUUAAAAAAAUUUAUCUUA